rnacentral:rRNA from 1 species
UACCAGCACCCCGAGUGGUCGGGACGAUUAUUGGGCCUAAAGCAUCCGUAGCCGGUUCUACAAGUCUUCCGUUAAAUCCACCUGCUCAACAGUUGGGCUGCGGAGGAUACUAUAGAGCCAGGAGGCGGGAGAGGCAAGCGGUACUCGAUGGGUAGGGGUAAAAUCCGUUGAUCCAUUGAAGACCACCAGUGGCGAAGGCGGCUUGCCAGAACGCGCUCGACGGUGAGGGAUGAAAGCUGGGGGAGCAAACCGG